CCACGCCACGCCCACGCCCCGCGGCACGUGACCGCCCCCUCCCCUCAGCGCCCCGUGGCCGGAGGGGCGGUGGCGGCGCGUGCGCGGCGGAGGGGCGGGAACGGGGAGUGUGGUGACGGGGCGGGGCUGGGCCGCGUCGGUGAUGCGGCGCGGCGCUCGUCGCCCCCGAAGGUGUACUUUGUAGCGAAACGACGGAGGGUUGGGUUCGAAUAAAAACGCCCGUGCACGAAAGCCAGGAGGGUCGUAAGGCAGCGGUUUUAUUGAGCCGGGGAUGGGUUGGGGACGGUCCGUCACGGCGCCGAGGCGCUACGGCAGCAGGGCCUCCUCCUGCAGCCGCUGCCCCAGCUCCGCCGGCAGCUCCGGGCGGCGGGCGGCCCCGACAACGGGAAAGGCCUCAGCUCCGGAGCCUGAGGCCAUCUCCAGCGCCGCGUCCCAGCCCGAGCCCGACUGCUCCUCGGAGAGCGGGAAGGCGUCGCCCAGCUCCUGGUACGUCUUCAUCCUGAAACACCAGAGCCGUCACAAACACCGCUUCCCUUUCACUGCCCGGUACCCCGUCCCCGAGCCCACCCGAGGGCCCUCGCACUUACAGAGCAGGGUUGGCCAGGGGCGGCAGGAUCCUGUUGGCCGCUCCGUCGGGCAGCUGGAACCACGGCCCCGUCUCCUCCACGCAGUUGGGGCUCCAGGCGUCGGGCCGGCACCGCACCCGCUUGUACCGCGCCCUCUGCGCGGGGGCACCUUGCACUGUGCAUCCCACAAAGAGGAUUACACAAACAGCCAGGAAAAUCCUCCUGCUACAUCUGACCGGGAGCUGCAUGUUGGCCGGCGCUCCUCCGCUCCUUGCCAGCCUCCACCACGGCCUCGCGCUUCAGAAACGAGGCAGUGCAAGGAAACUGACUUUUAGACAAGGUUUCCAAAACCUCAAACCCAACCCAUAACCUGCGUCACCAUUUCCUGAUUGACUGAAGUGAGACAUCUGCGGAAAAGCCCAGCGCUCCAGCUCCCCAGUCUCCCACCCAGCACCGAAAUCUCCACUCUGGUGCUGGCUGCGGGGAUAGGCAAACCCAAGGCGAACCCUCCAGGUGCACAUCUCUGCCUGCUGCUCUUUCCUCUACACUGUGUUUUUUUGCAGGGGCAGUUUUUUCACUGGGAUUCAACCAUCCGGGCUCGAGUUUAGCCAAGAAUAAGCUAGGCACAAGACGGCUACGGC
rnacentral:lncRNA from 1 species